rnacentral:rRNA from 1 species
UACGAAGGGGGCUAGCGUUGCUCGGAAUCACUGGGCGUAAAGCGCACGUAGGCGGAUCUUUAAGUCAGGGGUGAAAUCCCAAGGCUCAACCUUGGAACUGCCUUUGAUACUGGGGAUCUCGAGUCCGGAAGAGGUUGGUGGAACUCCGAGUGUAGAGGUGAAAUUCGUAGAUAUUCGGAAGAACACCAGUGGCGAAGGCGGCCAACUGGUCCGGCACUGACGCUGAGGUGCGAAAGCGUGGGAGCAAACAGG